rnacentral:tRNA from 1 species
GCAUUGGUGGUUUAUUGGUACAAUUCUCACCUAUCAUGCAGGAGACCCAAGUUGGAUUCUUGGCCAAUACA